CCUACGGGAGGCAGCAGUGAGGAAUAUUGGUCAAUGGACGAGAGUCUGAACCAGCCAAGUAGCGUGAAGGAUGACUGCCCUAUGGGUUGUAAACUUCUUUUAUAUGGGAAUAAAACGUUCCACGUGUGGGAUUUUGUAUGUACCAUAUGAAUAAGGAUCGGCUAACUCCGUGCCAGCAGCCGCGGUAAUACGGAGGAUCCGAGCGUUAUCCGGAUUUAUUGGGUUUAAAGGGAGCGUAGGUGGUUUGUUAAGUCAGUUGUGAAAGUUUGCGGCUCAACCGUAAAAUUGCAGUUGAUACUGGCAGUCUUGAGUACAGUAGAGGUAGGCGGAAUUCGUGGUGUAGCGGUGAAAUGCUUAGAUAUCACGAAGAACUCCGAUUGCGAAGGCAGUUCACUGGACUGCAACUGACACUGAGGCACGAAAGUGUGGGUAUCAAACAGGAUUAGAUACCCGAGUAGUC
rnacentral:rRNA from 1 species